GAUCAUGGCUCAGGAUGAACGCUAGCUACAGGCUUAACACAUGCAAGUCGAGGGGAAACGACAUCGAAAGCUUGCUUUUGAUGGGCGUCGACCGGCGCACGGGUAAGUAACGCGUAUCCAACCUGCCCAUCACUUGGGAAUAACCUUGCGAAAGUAAGACUAAUGUCCAAUGAUAUCCCACGAAGGCAUCCGAAUGGGAUUAAAGAUUUAUCGGUGAUGGAUGGGGAUGCGUCUGAUUAG
rnacentral:rRNA from 1 species